AGCGGAAGUAAAUUUAAGUGCUCCGUUUGCCAACUGUUAAAUUUGCUGAGUUUAAAGUAAUUUUAAUCUUCUGGCUGACAGAUACAAGAAAACCGUCUCCUGGACUUCAUUUCCCAGAACCACCGGGACCAGGGUAAACCUGACAGGAACACUUCUAACACAGCGGCGUCGGCCAUUUUCUAAGGUCAGAGAUUUGGGUUAGAGCAUACAGUACAAACCAAAAACCAGGAAGGUAAAGAGAUCAACAGAAGAAGAAGAAACAGAAAAACAGUGACGUGACAAAUGCAGUCUACAGUUGCUGCUGGUGUUUCAAUGGGGACCAAGUUUCCUGUAACACACCGUGGAAAGCAGGUUUCUAGAGCACCAAGAAACCAGAACCAGAACCGAUUGGGCCGUCAGAAGAUCCCGCGAUACCAAAGCAUCACGAUAUUUCUCUCUGACGUUACUGCUAGCUAGUUGCUACUAGCAUGGCUCCAUAUGAUGAAACUCUGAUAGAAAACACACAAAUCAAUUUUCUUUUCCUUGGUGGAUUUCCAGCAGGAUCAAUAAAUGGCUUCAAAACGAAAGGAAACCAACAACAAGCAACGCAAGUUGCUCAACAAGAGGCAGGAAGUGUCGCCGUAGCAACCAGUGGCUGGCCAUCUAAGGGUUGUUGAAUGACAUCAUACCGAACCUGAUCAAUAGCAGCUGGGAAACGAUCAGGCUGUGAUUAGCUGGAGUCUUGAAAUGAAAGCAGAGAGAAAAAAAAAACCAAACAUCACAAGAAGUUUGUGGCAAAAAAUCUAUAAAAAUGCAGAAUAAAAGCCUCU